UACGAAGGAUGCGAGCGUUAUCCGGAUUUAUUGGGUUUAAAGGGUGCGUAGGCGGUCUUAUAAGUCAGUGGUGAAAUCUUGUCGCUUAUCGACAAACGUGCCAUUGAUACUGUAGGACUUGAGUACAGAUGCCGUUGGCGGAAUGUGUCAUGUAGCGGUGAAAUGCAUAGAUAUGACACAGAACACCGAUUGCGAAGGCAGCUGACGAAACUGUAACUGACGCUGAUGCACGAAAGCGUGGGGAUCAAACAGG
rnacentral:rRNA from 1 species